rnacentral:rRNA from 1 species
GAUGAACGCUGGCGGCGUGCCUAAUACAUGCAAGUCGAGCGAACAGACGCGGAGCUUGCUCCUCUGACGUUAGCGGCGGACGGGUGAGUAACACGUGGAUAACCUACCUAUAAGACUGGGAUAACUUCGGGAAACCGGAGCUAAUACCGGAUAAUAUAUUGAACCGCAUGGUUCAAUAGUGAAAGACGGUUUUGCUGUCACUUAUAGAUGGAUCCGCGCCGUAUUAGCUAGUUGGUAAGGUAACGGCUUACCAAGGCAACGAUGCGUAGCCGACCUGAGAGGGGGAUCGGCCACACUGGAACUGAGACACGGUCCAGACUCCUACGGGAGGCAGCAGUAGGGAAUCUUCCGCAAUGGGCGAAAGCCUGACGGAGCAACGCCGCGUGAGUGAUGAAGGUCUUCGGAUCGUAAAACUCUGUUAUUAGGGAAGAACAAAUGUGUAAGUAACUAUGCACGUCUUGACGGUACCUAAUCAGAAAGCCACGGCUAACUACGUG